AUCUUGACGGUACCUAAUCAGAAAGCCACGGCUAACUACGUGCCAGCAGCCGCGGUAAUACGUAGGUGGCAAGCGUUGUCCGGAUUUAUUGGGCGUAAAGCGAGCGCAGGCGGUCUUUUAAGUCUGAUGUGAAAGCCCCCGGCUUAACCGGGGAGGGUCAUUGGAAACUGGGAGACUUGAGUGCAGAAGAGGAAAGCGGAAUUCCAUGUGUAGCGGUGAAAUGCGUAGAUAUAUGGAGGAACACCGGUGGCGAAAGCGGCUCUCUGGCUUGUAACUGACGCUGAGGCUCGAAAGCGUGGGGAGCAAACAGGAUUAGAUACCCUGGCAGUCCACACCGUAAACGCUGUCUACUCGCUGUUU
rnacentral:rRNA from 1 species